rnacentral:tRNA from 1 species
AUGUAAGUAGUUUAACUAAAACAUUGACUUGUGGAGUCAAGAAUAUAUUAAUGAUAUCUUAUGUA